rnacentral:rRNA from 1 species
GAUCAUGACUCAGGAUGAACGCUAGCUACAGGCUUAACACAUGCAAGUCGAGGGGCAGCAUGGUCUUAGCUUGCUAAGACUGAUGGCGACCGGCGCACGGGUGAGUAACACGUAUCCAAUCUGCCGUCUACUCUUGGACAGCCUUCUGAAAGGAAGAUUAAUACAAGAUGGCAUCAUGAGUCCGCAUGUUCACAUGAUUAAAGGUAUUCCGGUAGACG